AGUGAACGCUGGCGGUAGGCCUAACACAUGCGAGUCGAACGGCAGCACAGUAAGAGCUUGCUCUUACGGGUGGCGAGUGGCGGACGGGUGAGGAAUACAUCGGAAUCUACUUUUUCGUGGGGGAUAACGUAGGGAAACUUACGCUAAUACCGCAUACGACCUACGGGUGAAAGCAGGGGAUCUUCGGACCUUGCGCGAUUGAAUGAGCCGAUGUCGGAUUAGCUAGUUGGCGGGGUAAAGGCCCACCAAGGCGACGAUCCGUAGCUGGUCUGAGAGGAUGAUCAGCCACACUGGAACUGAGACACGGUCCAGACUCCUACGGGAGGCUGCAGUGGGGAAUAUUGGACAAUGGGCGCAAGCCUGAUCCAGCCAUACCGCGUGGGUGAAGAAGGCCUUCGGGUUGUAAAGCCCUUUUGUUGGGAAAGAAAAGCAGCAGGUUAAUACCCCGCUGUUCUGACGGUACCCAAAGAAUAAGCACCGGCUAACUUCGUG
rnacentral:rRNA from 1 species